rnacentral:rRNA from 1 species
UACGUAGGGGGCAAGCGUUGUCCGGAAUCAUUGGGCGUAAAGAGCGUGUAGGCGGCUCGAUAAGUCCGCUGUGAAAGUCCAGGGCUCAACCCUGGAAGGCCGGUGGAAUCUGUCGGGCUAGAGUCCGGAAGAGGCGAGUGGAAUUCCCGGUGUAGCGGUGAAAUGCGCAGAUAUCGGGAGGAACACCAAUGGCGAAGGCAGCUCGCUGGGACGGUACUGACGCUGAGACGCGAAAGCGUGGGGAGCAAACAGG